rnacentral:lncRNA from 1 species
GCAAAGAGAGUCAUAGUAUUACUCAAUUUAUUUUAUUGUCACUGUAGUUUCCUAUAUGACUAUAAGAGAGUACUUAACAGUCACUAUAGUGUGAUAUAUCAUUAAUCAAGAGAGGAAGAGGAUGCGAGAAGUCCAAACUGUAAAAAUUAGUAUUUUUUUCCUUUUUUUUUAAAUUGAGAGGAUAGGUGGGAUAAUCCUCACCUUUCCAUACUAAACCCAUCCUAACCUCAAGAUUCAUUAGAUAGGUCAAAAUAAUUUCAUAUAAAAGCAUGAGUCAUCGAAUUGAUGUCCUUCUAGUAGUUCUUGAUAAGAAAAUUUGACUCAAAUGUUAAUAGAUCUACAUAAUGAAAAAAGUUUAAAGGACUUGACCACUUUAAGAUCUUAGAUAUUUCUAAACUAACCAAUUUCUAAUUAGAUGUAAGAGGACAUACUUGUUAGAAUAUAUUGAUUAAUUAAUCGUGUCAAACUUAGUCGGCCUUACCAAACUUCACCUUGAUUGAUUUGUGAUUGAUUAUACCAAACUUAGUCGGCCUUACCAAACUUCAUCAGCCUCCUAGUCUAUAUAAAGGAUACUCUUGUACAUUGUAAUAGACCGGUAGAAAUACAAUUCUCUUCUCUUAUUCUUCAUUUUCAACAUGGUAUCAGAGCCAUUAAUCACAUAACCUGCCGCCAUCUUCUCUUCCACCUUGUUGUCGUCCUCUCUUCUGUGAUUGUCGUCGUCGCUUGCAGAUCCUCUAUUUCUUCUGCCUCAUUUGGGGGUAACCAAGGCUCCGGCCUCGGCGGCUUUCGAAGCCCCCUUAUUUCACUCUCUAUUCAACUUCUCAUAUUCAACUUCUUCUCAUAUUCCGUGGCCUUCCAUUAAAUUGUUCUGACCCGUUCACUCUCUCUCUUCUAUUAAAUUGUCUUCUAUAUGAAAACUAUACAGAACUCUUCAUCUCUCUCUCUCACGAACUCUUCCAUCCUCUUUUUAUUAAAACCAUCUGCCCCCUUCAUUACCAACCCCUAACUUAGCCGUAAUCUAUCUCCUCCUCUCCUUUUCGUGCUCCUUCCUUUUCCUCAAGGAAGACGAGUAGUGGCACCUCUCCAGUUGACAUCUACUCCUCUUCGGCGCCUCCAACGACAAAUCCCCACAUUCUCGAUCUCUCUUUUUUUCUUUUCCCUUUCCCUUUUUGGGGCCAUUUUGGGAUUUCUCUGAUUUAGAUUUGGGAUUUCUUGAUGUGGGUCCGGGGUUGGGGUGGUUAUCAUGACUGUCUGAUCUUGACCCGGCCGUUGAGAAGAAAAGGAGCUGGAUGCUGAUUUGAGGAGAAAGGUCCUUUCUAUCAUUGGGACUUGCUGCAAUUUCUUGAUCUUGUUUUAUAUAUUAUUUGUUAUCUUGCACAUGGUUCCUGUUCCACCGGAGAUGAGGGAGUUAAGCUUCCUGAGCACCAGUGCUCCUGUUGAGGGAGUUAAGCUCCCUGAGCACCCGCUUUUAGUGCUUCUGUUCCUUUGUAUCGGUAAACUCCAAACUCCAAUGCGUCAAACCGUACCAUCAGAAACUUGGCGAAGGUAAACUUGGCAAGCACAAUUUUGCUCCAAAUCUCAGUAGCAGCGCGUCAAAUAAUACUGUCAGAAACUUGGCGAAGGUAAACCUGGCAAGCGCAAUUUCGUUCCAAAUGUCAGUAGCAGCGCGUCAAACUGUACCGUCAGAAGCUUGGCUGGCAAGCACAAUUUUGCUCCAAAUCUCAGUAGCAGCGUGUUAGACCAUACCAUCAGAAGCUUGGUGGAAAAACUUGGCAGGCGCGGUCUCGCUCCAAACUCCAGUAGCAGCGCGUCAAACCGUAUCGUUAGAAGCUUGACAGAUAAAUUUGGCAGGUGCAGUCUUGCUUCAAACCCCAGUAGCAG